GACGAACGCUGGCGGCGUGCUUAACACAUGCAAGUCGAACGGAAAGGCCCUGCUUUUGUGGGGUGCUCGAGUGGCGAACGGGUGAGUAACACGUGAUUAACCUGCCCUUGACUUUGGGAUAACUUCAGGAAACUGGGGCUAAUACCGGAUAGGAGCUCCUGCUGCAUGGUGGGGGUUGGAAAGUUUCGGCGGUUGGGGAUGGACUCGCGGCUUAUCAGCUUGUUGGUGGGGUAGUGGCUUACCAAGGCUUUGACGGGUAGCCGGCCUGAGAGGGUGACCGGCCACAUUGGGACUGAGAUACGGACCAGACUCCUACGGGAGGCAGCAGUGGGGAAUAUUGCACAAUGGGCGGAAGCCUGAUGCAGAAACGCCGCGUGCGGGAUGACGGCCUUCGGGUUGUAAACCGCUUUAGCCUGUGACGAAGCGUGAGUGACGGUAAUGGGUAAAGAAGCACCGGCUAACUACGUG
rnacentral:rRNA from 1 species